rnacentral:lncRNA from 1 species
CCGUUCGCCUGCAAAACCGACAAUUUGCUCUCCGAAGGGCGCUAUUAUAUCUUCUGAUAGUCCNAUCUUUUGGAAGGUGGUCCAAUAUAGAAUAUUGACGGAGCUGCCUUGAUCGAUCAGAACUUUACUCACAUCGUAUUCGGCUAUACGGGCGGUUAUCACCAUUGGAUCAUCUUGGUCGGGAUCUGGAGCAUGAAAAUCUUCGUCCGUGAAGGUGAUNUCCGGCAUCGAUAGAGGGUUGCGGACGAUGUUGUGAACGCUUCGUAAACUUCUUUCGUGUCUUUUGCGAGCUGAGGAUGAGGCUCCUCCUCCCGCAAAUCCUCCUGAUAUAGUGUCAAUCCGUCCCCGCGGAGUGGGGUCGCGCUUCGGAGGUCUACUGCGAGAGCGUUCACGGUGCUGAUCCCGGGAACGUUCGGUAUUUCUUCUAGUACGCUCGGGACUUC